GUGCUCCUAAGGGCAGCGUUCAGGGAUUCCAUUUCGGAGAUCUGCUCCACCCUCCUGACACCAUGCUAUACUCACUGUAAAAUGUGUAGUCUUUUCUGACCCUGUAGGCUUCAUUUCAUGACAUGCAUGGCAAAGGUUUUAUAGGAUGGAGAAAAGAUAUGACAUGCAUAGUGUUUUACCUCACAUUAAACUGAUGCACAAACAUGAUUCACAUUGCUUACAGUUUACGGUCAUUAAGAGAGUCUACAAAACCAGGUGGAAAGAAAUUUUGUAUUUAACCCCUAUAGGACACAUGACAUGUGUGACAUGUCAUGAUUCCCCUUUAUUCCAGAAGUUUGGUCCUUAUGGGGUUAAAGAAAGUGAGCCAACAUUUAAAUACAAUACUAUGAGAAUCCACAUGAUCUCAACAGCAAUUUGGAAUUGACAAUUACUUUAAAUAUCCAAUUUGUUUUUUGUUUUUUUUUAACAAAAAAACAAACAAAACACAUGCAACUAGAUAUUCACAGAUGGGUAUAUUUUAAUUUUAAAAAAAUGCACAAUUAACACUUAAUGGAAUCACACAUUAGCAUAUUGUUUCUUUAAUAAUGUUUCAGUUAUAGGUCAUGAGGCAAUUUGUGAAUUGUAUAUUCUUCCUGUAAGUAUUUGUAAUUUAUCAGGUUGAAUUAAAACUAACACCAGCGCCUGCAUAUGUAUGCUAUGUAUUUCCUGAACCUUUAAUUGCUACCUAACACCUAACUGCUAUGGAAAGUUAUCAUGUACUCAAUAUGUAGGUUAUUGUAUGGUGCUUAUAUGGGGUCAUCACUUUCUGUGUGAUGCAUAACUAGAAGCGAGGGUAAAUGGGAGAUAUUUCAUACAUUAUCAUUUUGUAUUGUUAAUUAGAGAUGUGUCUUCUUGACAAUGUAUUAUGGACAGUUUGCUGGAACAAAAUGAGAAUUCAGAUGGCUGAGAUGAGAUAAUUACCUCAAACACCCAAACUAUAAUACCCAAAUACUCCAAAUA